rnacentral:rRNA from 1 species
GAUGAACGCUGGCGGCGUGCCUAAUACAUGCAAGUCGAGCGAACAGACGAGGAGCUUGCUCCUCGGACGUUAGCGGCGGACGGGUGAGUAACACGUGGAUAACCUACCUAUAAGACUGGGAUAACUUCGGGAAACCGGAUCUAAUACCGGAUAAUAUAUUGAACCGCAUGGUUCAAUAGUGAAAGACGGUUUUGCGGUCACUUAUACAUGGAUCCGCGCCGCAUUAGCUAGUUGGUAAGGUAACGGCUUACCAAGGCAACGAUGCGUAGCCGACCUGAGAGGGUGAUCGGCCACACUGGAACUGAGACACGGUCCAGACUCCUACGGGAGGCAGCAGUAGGGAAUCUUCCGCAAUGGGCGAAAGCUUGACGGAGCAACGCCGCGUGAGUGAUGAAGGUCUUCGGAUCGUAAAACUCUGUUAUUAGGGAAGAACAAAUGUGUAAGUAACUAUGCACGUCUUGACGGUACCUAAUCAGAAAGCCACGGCUAACUACGUG